UCCUGCCCUUACUUUUUAUAGAAGGCAUCUUCAAGCAAAGGGCUGGAGAAAUUCCGAUUUGCUCGACUAAAUCCACUGCGGACUCUGGGCCAGUUUUUGUAAUCUCUUUGCCUAAAGAAGGGAGGAAGGAGAAGUCAAAGGGAGAGAAAACGAGCCCAAGCGGCAACAGGAGGAGAA
rnacentral:lncRNA from 11 species